GCGAGAAAAAACAUGUCGUUGAAAAUUGUUAACUGGCAUUGAGUUUUUUUGUGCAAAAAAAGUGACCGAGCUACCGCGAAUUGUGUCGUAAAAUGGAAGUGUUCAACAGGAGCGACCCUGAGGAAGUUGAAUAAAAAGAUUGAAAGUGCCAAAUUAAGUUUGUACUCGUUCUUACGUUCGAAGCUUCAAUCAGUGAUCAACUAGUGUCGUUGUAGAUCCUGGUUGAGUUGACGGGAUUGUUUUUUUUGCCUAAAAUGUUGAAAAUCUUUUAACGUGUAUAUUGAGCUAGUGGUUCUCCUGCGAAGCCAGAAAAUAUUGUUAUGCUCUGUUGGCUCAAGCUAAAAGUGAUAAAAGAUUUAACAAUUCAAAUCCUGGAAUUGUCAUUUAGCAGCGGAUAGUGUGUCGUCUUCGUUGGAUUAUUGAUACGAAUUCUCUUCAGUUUUUCAGCCCUUCGCCUCCGCCCAAGCUACCGCUGCAUUCAAUACUAGAUGGGAACCCAGUAAAUGGUGUAUGGCACAGAUGCAUGAAUCACGAGCUGUCUCAGGUGUUCAAAGAAAAUAUUGUGAAUCAAAUAAAAUAGGCCAUACGAGUGCGAAUGUUGGAAGAAUGAAUAGUGAAUAUUCAACAGAGAACCGGGUAGAGGCCGGCGACUUCGUGGAAGACCAUGGACACGCUGGCUGCAUGAGGUGGAAUCGGACCUGGGACUGGAGGAACAUCGCCCAAGACAGUCGAUGGUGGAGGAGCUCUACAAUACGAUAGGCAUAAGUGUAUCGACGGUGUAGCCAACCAGGUGUCUAGAUCAUUUUGUACCGCUACCAUCAGAUCAUGUAAAAAAUACCUACACAAACUUCAGGAGCGUUUUUCAACUAAUGGUCGACUUGAUAUUAUCAUGGUUACUUCAAGAUUCUUCUGUAAUUGUUGACUUCAACUAUGUCGAAUGAACACGGUGAGGGCGUCGUUGAAGUCUAUGGCCCGAUGUCAUUAUCCUACAAGAUUACAAACAGAUCAGUAGAAAACAUUUCCAACCAAAUGGACAAAUGCAUUUAAUAUUACUGCUAACGAAGCAAAAAUGUAUCACUUGUGGUUUAUAUUUUAAAUAUUAUUAAAUUUAAAAAAAAAAGGAGAAAAAGGUGCAAGUGUAGUUAUACGAACAAAGUUAUUUUCAUGAAUUGCAACACGACGAAGAUAACUGAAAUUCAGAUAACCUCGAGGUGUAAAAUUAAAAAAAAAAAAAAGGGCUAAAUAUUCAAAUUUAUCUGUAAAAUGUUUCUAACCAAAUAUUCACAAUAAAUAAAUUGUUAAAUAGAUACAUAAAAUGUGUUUCGUUUUUCUUAGCCUGGUUUGUUUGCUUACCUUCAAAAUAAAUACGGGAAA